ACCAACUCGAAUGCCUACAGGGGCCAGGAAGCUAAUGUCAACAAGUGGAGGAAGAGAGGGGAGGUGCUGCAGGUAACUGGAAAAUGCAAUUUUAAAAACAUACCUGCUUCUGGCUGGGCAUGGUGGCUCAUGCCUGUUAAUUCCAGCACUUUGGGAGGCCGAGGCGGGUGGAUCACCUGAGGCCAGGAGUUCAAGACCAGCCUGGCCAACAUGGUGAAACUCUGUCUCUACUAAAAAUACAAAAAUUAGCUGGGCAUGGUGGUGGAUGCCUGUAAUCCCAGCUACUUGAGAGGCUGAGGCAGGAGAAUUGCUUGAACCCAGGGCGAUAGAGUGAGACUCCGACACACACACACACACAAAACAACAACAAAACCGUACCUGCUUCCAAUCAUCAGGCAGAUGGCCCAAUGUUUCCAGAUCUCUCUAAUUUUCAUGAGAAGCCAGAAAACCAAAUUUUUACAUGACAAUUUCCCAUUUUUUAAAUGUUGGCAAUUACUAAACUUAACCAGAUACAUACACACAUACAUAAAAUCCUGUAAGCCUAAGAGAACACAUCUGCAGGAUGGGAGGAGACUUUAAAUAGUUCAAUUCCCCUUAAUCGAUAUUUUCAAAUAGCGUUGUGUAUGUCAAGCCCAGUGCUACAUGCUGGAGAUGCAGAAGGAAACAAGGCAGAAGCAGCUCUACUCUUGCGGAGCCUAUUGCCUUGAGGGGAACUCAAAGGAUCUGGGGAUAAUUUCCCUGGAGAAGGCUCAUGGAGGACAGACGGUAAUAAUAAUGAUAAGAUUUACUGAGCUUUUACUCUGGGCCAACAUUACCCUCAAUGCUUUACCUAUAAUUAUGUCAUCUAAUUCUUACCACUAUCCUUGUUUCAUGUAAUGAAACUGAGGUUCAGGAAGGUCAAGCAAAUCAGCCACUACAAUUGUGUACAGAUUCUCUAUGGUCCAGAAGAAUGGAACAGGCUGUCAAAUGAGAGCACGUACUUAAGAGGCUAACACAGUAUGACCGUAUGUGGCAAUAAAUGAGUGCUGAGUACAUGUCUAUUUCUUUUCCAGUCUCUGGAAGCAUUCAAGAACAAGUUGUAUGGUCAUUUGUUAGGGUUGCUAGAGAGGGAGGCUGAGUAUCAGAUAGGUAGAAACACUGUGCACAGCCUUCCAUCUAUGAGAAUCUAACUCCACUUUUCCUGGAAUAAUUAUUUUCCUUUUUGGCAAUAAUAACAAAGUAAUUAUCAAUGACUCCUCACUUCCACACCCCUACAACAGCAGCAGUAGCCCUGUGGAUGGGAGACUAAGGCCCAGGAAGAAUAUGGACCAAAUUACAGGUGAUAAACCAUCAAUCAAGUAAUACUGAUGGAAUGUCCAUGACACGUAAACCAUAUUGUUCCAAGCUCUAAAUCAGUGUGCACAGCAGGAAAAGAGCAUGAGAAAGGGGCUUAUACCUAAGACUCAGUACUGGCUUUGGCAUUAAUUUACUUUGACUUUGAGAAGGUUUUUCCUAAGCCUUGCUUUCAUCUCUUUACAAUGAGGGGGUAGGAAUAUACCUCUAAAGUCCUUUUCAGCUUGAAUAAUUGAUAUAAAUUAUUUGCAUUAAAAAAAAUCAGACCUCAGAUGUAGGAGGAUUCACCUUUCUUCCUAGAAGCCAGUGAGACCACAGAACCCUGGGAACUCAAAAGGACUUUAGAUGUGAGAAUGGUCAGUCCUCAUGGGACCAAUGAGCACUUUUAAAAUGUAGCUAGUCCAAAAUGAGGUGUGCUAUAAGUGUAAAAUACACACUAUAUUUUGAAGACUCAGCAUGAGAAAAAGAAUAUGAAAUAUCUCAAGAAAACAUUUAUAUUGCUUUAUAUUGAUAUUUUU
rnacentral:lncRNA from 10 species